AGAGUUUGAUCCUGGCUCAGGACGAACGCUGGCGGCGUGCCUAACUCAUGCAAGUCGAGCGAGGAAGCCCUUCGGGGCGGAUUAGCGGCGGACGGGUGAGUAACACGUGGGUAACCUACCUCAAAGAGGGGGAUAGCCUCCCGAAAGGGAGAUUAAUACCGCAUAACAUUAGUUUUUCGCAUGAAGGACUAAUUAAAGGAGUAAUCCGCUUUGAGAUGGACCCGCGGCGCAUUAGCUAGUUGGUGAGGUAAUAGCUCACCAAGGCGACGAUGCGUAGCCGACCUGAGAGGGUGAUCGGCCACAUUGGAACUGAGAUACGGUCCAGACUCCUACGGGAGGCAGCAGUGGGGAAUAUUGCACAAUGGGCGAAAGCCUGAUGCAGCAACGCCGCGUGAGUGAUGAAGGCCUUCGGGUUGUAAAGCUCUGUCUUUGGGGACGAUAAAUGACGGACCCAAGGAGGAAG
rnacentral:rRNA from 1 species